rnacentral:rRNA from 1 species
UACGUAGGGGGCGAGCGUUGUCCGGAUUUAUUGGGCGUAAAGAGCUCGUAGGCGGUCUGUUGCGUCCGCUGUGAAAACUCGGGGCUUAACCCCGAGCCUGCAGUGGAUACGGGCAGACUAGAGGUAGGUAGGGGAGAAUGGAAUUCCCGGUGUAGCGGUGAAAUGCGCAGAUAUCGGGAGGAACACCGGUGGCGAAGGCGGGUCUCUGGGCCGAUACUGACGCUGAGGAGCGAAAGCGUGGGGAGCGAACAGG